UUUAAUGGAUUAAUUGUGUAGAAAUUAUGUUGAGCCAUUUUUAUUGACUUGUGAAGUUUGACUAUGUGUUUGGGCCUUGGUCAAGGUUGAUUUGACUUUUGUUGGAUUAAAAUCAUUGGAUUUAGGGGAUUGAUUGUUGAGCCAUUUUUAUUGACUUGUGAAGUUUGACUAUGUGUUUGGGCCUUGGUCAAGGUUGAUUUGACUUUUGUUGGAUUAAAAUCA
rnacentral:lncRNA from 1 species